GGAGAAGCUGUCGAGUGUUCAUGGCGAUACGCUGUCUCUUGCAGCGUUGAUUUCAAAAUAGCCGGGAUAUUCGCAGUAGAUGACACAAGACACGGCUUCUGUCAAUGCAGUUCCAAAUGUUACCUCCAGUCUCACGUUUCCUUGCUUGAGCAAGCUGCUUUCUAGAGGUGUGAACACGACGACGCUUUGCUGACAAAUGACGACUAGGCGAACGUCUAUGCCUUUUAAGUUCAGAUUUAACCUGCUCGACGACUUGCUGUGCUGGCGACACCAUGUUAACGUCGAGAUCCCGUGCUGGUUCGAUCCAUAAGAAACGAGUGAACACGUCAAUAACGACGAGGAGAAAGCGAUAGCCAGAAUUCUGCUUUGAGAGGGAGGAAACGUCUGCAAGAUCUACAUCGUAUUGCUCAUAAGGACCGGAAACCUCUACCCGUGCUCUCUUAAAUGAACGCCUUGGAGGUUUCUGUAAACUGUUAUCGUCGAGACUUUGGAUAUAACGUCUAAUCUUAUCAAGAACUGGUGAUUUAUAGCCUUGUGAUUUCAAUAUCUGAUGUACUUUCGUAGGACUGAGAAAUGCACCACCGUUCUUAAAGUCAUAAUACACCGCGUCUACGCGACGCUUCACCUCUGCUGUUAACAUAAUGAUAA